rnacentral:lncRNA from 1 species
CAUGAGAGGAGGCAACAGGGGCCACUGUGGACAGGUGGGGUGAGAGGGCAUCUCGGGAGGAGGCAGCAGGGGCAGGGGCCAGGCUGGGGCAGGUGGGGGCAGCCGCCCAGGUGUCAGCCGGGGAGGCAGCGACGGCAGGAUGAGCAAAUGGCACUCCUCACAGCCACGAGGGGGACUGGGGGCUGCACUUCUCUCCUUGCCAUCCUCCCAGGAACUAUCUUUGUUCAGGGGCAAGGAAGUCCCAGAGGGGCCUGACCUCAGACCUCCACCUCCCUCCCCUCCCACCACGGAGGUGCUAGGGAGGACAGGGCAGCUGAGUGCCCUGGCUGGGCUCCCACCCCCAGCACCUCCUCUCCAGGAAGGCUCUCUCUCCACAGCUGUGUGGCUCCAUCACAGAAGGGGAAACCGAGGCUCAGGGAUCCCCCAGCCUCCAGUUCGGGUGCGGAGAGUCUGGAGUCUGUAUCGAGGCCCCAGCCUGGCCACGGGAACCUCAGGGCACCACCGGCCCUCUCUCCAUCCAGGUCAGCACACCAGGCAGACAGCAGCCUCCCCACCAGGGGCCCCACCUGCUCCAUCUCCAACCCCCAGAGCCAAAGGGACCCCUGUUCCCAUCCCACCUCCCCCUUCUCUGCCUCCUCUACCUGCUCCAAGCUGUGGCCUCAGGUGCAUCCUUGUCAGGCCACGUUCUAUCAAGAUGAAGCUGCCUGGGCGGUGCCCGGCGGCCUCUGUGCCAUGGCCCUGCGCCAGCAGAUGAAGGAAGCAGACCCAUGCCGCUGAGCCAGGCUGGAGGGAACCCCCAACGGGAGAACUUUCUGGAAAGAUGCAGUUCUUCCCUCCUAAUGUCUCCUUCCCCUGCGCCCUCCUGCAGAGCCAACUGCACCUCCUCCCACUAAGCCCCCAGCUUCUCUCUCCCCACUCAAUGGAGCAGGAGGGGCUGCUGCCUUGGGGACAAGACUGGGGGAGCGGGACACUCACCUCCAAGGCCAAAGAACUCAGCCAUCAAGGGCCAGGAUAUUUUAAUCAAUAUUUUAAAAAGUAAAGUUAUGCAGAGUCCAUGCUGAUCAAAAUAGCAAGUUUUUUUGUGUUUGUUUUUUUGAGACAGGGUCUCACUCUGUCGCCCAGGCUGGAGGGCAGUGGCACAACCUCAGGUCACCGCAACCUCCACCUCCCAGCUCUUUUUUUUUUGAGACGGAGUCUUACUCUGUUACCCAGGCUGGAGUGCAAUGGCGCGAUCUCAGCUCAUUGCAACCUCUGCCUCCCAGGUUCAAGCGAUUCUCCUGUCUCAGCCUCCUGAGUAGCUGGGAUUACAUGUGCCCACCACCACACCAGGCUAAUUUUUCUAUUUUUAGUAGAGACGGGGCUCCGCUAUGUUGGCCAGGCUGGUCUCGAACUCCUGACCUCAGGUGAUCUGCCCGCCUUGGCCUCCCAAAGCACAAGGUUUACAGGCGUGAGCCACUGCACCUGGCCAUCAUUUUUGUAUUUUUAGUAGAGACGAGGUUUUGCCACGUUGCCCAGGGUGGUCUGGUCUCUAUCUCCUGGGCUCAGGUGAUCCACCCACCUCAGCCUCCCGAAGUACUGGAAUUACAGGUAUGAGCCACCGUGCCCAGCCUAAAAUAGCAAGUUUGUAAAGCGAGGGCAGCUGGGGCUGCUGGGAUUCUUGUGUGGGUGCCAGGGUAGGACCAGGACUCAACUCAGUGGACAUUCUACUGUUUUGCUCAUUAUGGGGUUUUGGCACUGAUUUUGGUUUCUUAGGAGAUGCAGGAUUAUGCUUGCUCUGCCGCUGAGUGCCCAGGGCCCCAUCACCACCCACCUCUGCUCACAGCCCCAGGGCAGCUCAGCCCCCAGAGGCCCCCAGGCACCCAUUCGAAGCCCCUGCAGGGCCAGGACUGACGUUCCACCUCUUCCAGGGCCAGUUCCACAGGGGAGCACUCCCUUCCCCUCCCUCUCCCCUCCCUCUAUUCCCUCCCUCCCAUCCUGUUUUGGGGGGAAGCUGGGGUGGGACCGCCCAGCCUGGGGCUCUGCUUCCUACCCAGGCUCUGGGCUCCACUGUCCAGUAUAGGAAGCAAAGGGCAGGGCUUUGGGAAGCCACGUCCCUCCAAAGGCCACCAGCUUGGGUUAAAGGCUCCAGUUGUAACUAACGGUCAGGCUAGGGAGCUCUAAAGACACCAUAGCCCAGCAGACUCCCCCUCCCAAACCCUCGUGGGCACCCCCAGGCUGGAGCUCAGUCCACCCUAAGGCACCCAUGAAUGUCCCAUCUUCCUGCAUGGUUCCCUGGAGCCGCUCCCACCUCUGCAGCCCACGUUGGUGAGGGGCCCCGGCACACCUGAACGGGGAGCCCCCGCCCGGCCCCGGCCCCCGUCACUCACCCUCGCCAAGCGCAUAGCGGAUCCGGGCAUCCCACGCACACAUGGCCUCGUGGCUGUCAAAGCCCAGCAUGAUGGCCUGGGACAGGCAGACAAUGGCCAGCGUGUGGGCCAGGCCCUCGUAGGGCAGGCCGGGCUCCAGCCCGCAGAUGUCCUCUAGCGUCAGGCUGCUGCGCUCCCGCAGGCCCUUGGUACGCUCCGACUUGUCCUUGUAGACCAGCAUCAGCAGGCAGUCUGCAAGGAGCGUGGCCGUCAGGGACGCCAGCCAACACUGCCUGCCCGCAC